rnacentral:lncRNA from 1 species
GCCCAUCCCAGAGGCUUCCUCUGGCUGUUUCCUGGCAUUGUCAGCCUCAUACUGCUCCAGCAGCAGGACACUAGGCGCCCACGGUCCCAGGGCCACCUCCUUAUAGUCCUCCCCGAUUGCUGCGAUUGGUUGGGGCCCAGGCCUUGCUGCUGGGGAUGGAUAAGAUGAUCGCCACGGGCCUUUUGGGGAGCUAAUAGUUUGUGAAGGGAGGAGACCUCUCCGGUCAGCUUCACUAGGAUGCACGUUUCCCCUCAUGCCAGGUGUAGGAAGCCAUGGGCAUUUACAUUAAUUGGCAUAGCCACCUGCUAUAGUGAAAAGAGCACGGAACCGGAAGUCAGAUCUUGGAGUCUACUCCCAACAAUACUACUAGGUUGAGUGACCCUGAGUAAAGUUCUGUCUUCUCCAGGCAACGGUUCCCCUGUCUGCUGAUCUGGGUGGGAAAUGGAUGGAGCUGAAGUGACAUGGUGGCAGGAAGAGAUACUCUUGGAGCUGAGAAGGGUCCCUGAGACUUCCUUCCCCCUGCCCAGUGAGCCCCACCAUGGGCAGGCGCAACCUGAAUGUGUGCUUCCUGGAGACAUCCAUGGAUCCAUGAGCCAGCCUUUCUGUCCUCCUGGAACCUGUCCCCCGUCCAUGGGCUGGGCAUCAGGUCCUGGCUGUCUCUGCGCCUCCUCAGUCACUUGCUUCCACCUCUGGAAUGAGCUUCAUGGCCACCAGUGGCUGUAUCUCGCCAUAGUCCAUGGUGCCAGUUGCAUGACGGGGUCUGGCUUUGGACACAGCACUGCACCUCUCCAGGACUGCUUCCUUCAUGCCAUGAUGGGAGAAAUGAUGCCUAACCCAAAGGGUGGACUGAGGUUAAAUGCGGCAAUAGGUCCUACAAGCCCAGGACAGUGCCCAGCCUGUAAUAAAAGCGAAGAAACCGCUAGUGGUGGUCAUUAUUGGCCUCCUCUCUGAAACUCAGUUUCCUCUUUUGUACCAUGCAUUAUUGGAUUCAACUUCACAGUGCAAUUGUGAGAAAGAACUGAGUGAUCUGGAUAAGAGAAGCGGGCAGUGGGAUCGAGGGUAUGGGGCUGAUGCUGGGCCACUCUGUCAGUCUGGUACAGAGCCACCAAAAGGAGCCACCCUCCAUGGCGUGCUUCUCUAUCAUGGUG